rnacentral:rRNA from 1 species
GCAUAUCAAUAAGCGGAGGAAAAGAAACCAACAGGGAUUGCCUCAGUAACGGCGAGUGAAGCGGCAACAGCUCAAAUUUGAAAUCUGGCCCCCCGGCCCGAGUUGUAAUUUGCAGAGGAUGCUUCUGGCGACGUGCCUUCCGAGUUCCCUGGAACGGGACGCCAUAGAGGGUGAGAGCCCCGUCCGGUUGUGCGCCUAGCCUCUGUGAAGCUCCUUCGACGAGUCGAGUAGUUUGGGAAUGCUGCUCUAAAUGGGAGGUAUACGUCUUCUAAAGCUAAAUACCGGCCAGAGACCGAUAGCGCACAAGUAGAGUGAUCGAAAGAUGAAAAGCACUUUGAAAAGAGGGUUAAAUAGUACGUGAAAUUGCUGAAAGGGAAGCGCUUAUGACCAGACUUGGGCCCGGUGAAUCAUCCAGCGUUCUCGCUGGUGCACUUUGCCGGCCCAGGCCAGCAUCAGUUCGCGCCGGGGGAUAAAGGCUUCGGGAAUGUAGCUCCCUCGGGAGUGUUAUAGACCGUUGCGCAAUACCCUGGCGCGGACUGAGGUACGCGUUCUGCAAGGAUGCUGGCGUAAUGGUCAUCAGUGACCCGUCUUGAAACACGGACCAAGGAGUCGUCUUUGUAUGCGAGUGUUCGGGUGUCAAACCCCUACGCGUAAUGAAAGUGAACGUAGGAGAGAGCUUCGGCGCAUCUCCGACCGAUCCUGAUGUUCUCGGAUGGAUUUGAGUAAGAGCAUACAGGGCCGGACCCGAAAGAAGGUGAACUAUGCCUGUAUAGGGUGAAGCCAGAGGAAACUCUGGUGGAGGCUCGCAGCGGUUCUGACGUGCAAAUCGAUCGUCAAAUAUGGGCAUGGGGGGCGAAAGACUAAUCGAACCUUUCUAGUAGCUGGUUUCCGCCGA